GGGGAUCUCUGCAUCCCCAUGGACCUGCAGGGGGAUCUCUGCAUCCCCACGGAGCUGCAGGGGGAUCUGUGCAGCCCCAUUGUAAUAUAAAUUGUGGAAUAAUUCGUGAUUAUGUAAAAUAUACAUGAAGUCAGUUGUGCUAGUAGAAAAAGAUUCUUAAAGUUUUAAAAGACCUGAAGACCCAGCCGGGAAAGACUGGAAACCACAGAUGACAGAGAAAGAAAGACCUAAUUUACAAUUGAAAACACGUGGCUCCCUGCAGAGAUGGGCACUUUCCGGGGAUACUCCACCAGACGCCCAAGUAAAGAGACCAAGGGAGUGAUAAAAAAGAGAGAAUCCCUCCCAGAGAAACUGGGACUGGAUCUUAGGAAGAAGAGGAACCCCGUGGAGUGCCGGAUUGAGGGAUAAGAGUGCCCAAGAGCAUCCAGGAUUCAAACCUGCUGGGUUGAGGGAUUAACAUUCCAACAGCACUCAGGGUGUAGAUAAGUAAUGUAGACUGUUUGAAAGUAAAAAGUAUCUUCUUGUUGUAUGUGAGAGUUAGUGAAAAAUAAAAGUGAGUAAAUGUAGAUGAAUGGUAGUAUAUGUAAUGUAGAUUGUUUUUUAUGAGCUUUUCUUUAUCUCCUUGGAGAGAGUGUUAGAGUGUUUCCUGGCAGUCGAAAAGAGAGUAUUGCAGAGAAAAAUUCCUCACUUGCUGUCCUCCCCCUGCCCUCAACUCUAUUCAUAUUUUGUCCAUUCCCUCUUCAAAAUACAGAUUUGUAAAACUCAUGCUCUGUGUCCUCAGAUGGCCUUCCCAAAUCAAACCUUGGCUUCCUUGCAAAUUGCAUUGCACUAACUAGCAUUGCCUUAAAUUUGUUUUGGUGCAGGCAGGGUCACUUUGGAAGUAAGUUGUUGUUUACUUUGUUCCUGCAACCUUUUCAAGCUUGUGAAUGGAAAAAUUGUGAUAGCAAAAUAAGUCUUUAUUUUUGCACUGUCAGCUGUGAGUGGCUGGUAGCCUUGGUGGAGGGUGCCGUGAAUUACACGCCUGCAGAACACGCAUAACAAAAGUAAUUUACUUUGUAAGGAAGUUGAAAAAGGGGGGAGAGGUGAUUGGCAGACUCACCUCUCCAGGAUGUAGGAUUAAUGUUAGAAAGUGGACUGAUAUUGGAAUGUGGCUGCUGAAAUGUGAAGAGAGAAAAAGAAAGAGAAAGAGAUAGAAAGGGAGAGAGAGAGAGAAAGAGAGCGAAGGGGAGAGCGAAAUACACCCCCAAGGUCCCCUCAGCCACAGCUAUCUGUAAGUUCUCCCCCAUUCCUGCUAGGCAGAGUGACAACAAGGAGGGGGGGAAGUGGGGAAGGACAGAGUUAAACCCAAGGCUGUGAACAGGACCACCAGUAGAGAUAAGAUCAAGGCAGAGAUUGUGACUCUCACAAAGUGGUCUAUUGUCUUAAGCAAGAUUUCUUUUUUCUUUCUGAUUGCUGUUGUUAAGAAGAGAAGGCUUUUGUUCUGAAGACUAAAAGUCUGUAAGACUAAAACAGUUAAAUGUUACCCAAAAAGUAAAAGGCAAGAGAUGUGAUACAUCUCAUGUUAAAAUUGGCCUGGUCUUUUUUAUUUAACUAAUUAUAGCUCACAGGAAGAAGAAUUGGUCUCUGCAGCUAUUAACACAGCUGGAUACAAGAAGAAGAAGUGGCUGUAGAAAAAGAGUUUAGUUAAACCCAGAAAGUUUUAAAGAAAACUAAUGGUAAAAGUUAAUGCAGUAUUGUUUUUCUUUUAACACUGUGCUAUUAAGAAAUCCUUUCCAGGUACCACUGAAGCAGCAAUCCAAACCACGGAAAGAGGGUGAAUUCAUGCCAGCAAAACCAAAGGACUUGUGAGGAAACUUGAGGAAUGGACUAUCACAUCUAAACCGGGUGAUACCAAAUUGACUUCCAACCAGGACUGGGUGGUAAUGGUUUGGGAAGACCCAAAUGAUCCAAGGCAGGUACAAAGAAUAACACCUCACUGAGAAAUAAGGCAAAGCUUGCAUCACUGGUUCUAAGCCCUGCCUGAAUAAACCCUGAGACGCCUCCGACACCUCCUUGGCAGAGGAACACUGCCACUUCAAACAGGAGGAUCGGGAGUGUUUCAGUCAAA